GCUUACGGCCAUACCACCCUGAACACGCCCGAUCUCGUCCGAUCUCGGAAGCUAAGCAGGGUCGGGCUGGUUAGUACUUGGAUGGGACCGCCUGGGAAUACCAGGUGCUGUAAAGCU
rnacentral:rRNA from 1 species